AGAAACCAAAGCAAAGCAAAGCAAAGCAAAGGUGGAGUUUUGAUUCCAUCUCUGUCUCUGUUUUGUGCCAAAUUGGAUUGAAUCAGUACGGGUGAUUUCUAUUGUUCAGAUCCAAAAGUUUGUGAUUUCUUUUUUUUCUCUGCAGUUAUGCUUCCUGAUGUACAGAAAGCUUUUAUCCUGUUGUUAAUACUCCUAGUCCUGGACGGUUUAAGAAUGAAUUCUGUAGAAUUUGAGACUGUUCAUUGGAUAUGGGAUGGGAUUUUGUAUCCUCAAUUGUUCGGGCUUGGUGGUAUUAUGAUUGCCGCUGCCAUUAUUGGACUAUCAACUGGCUAUUUUGGUGGAAUUGGCAUACCUUGUUCCUCCCCAUACCAUUGGCCUGAUCUGGGGAUUUUAUACAAGAGAAGGAAGAGACCUGUAAGGGUUUAUAUGGAUGGCUGCUUUGAUCUUAUGCAUUAUGGCCAUGCAAAUGCAUUGCGACAGGCUAAGUCUUUGGGAGAUGUUCUGGUUGUUGGAGUUGCAAGUGAUGAAGAGAUUGUGGCAAACAAGGGCCCUCCUGUAUUGUCCAUGGAGGAGAGGCUGAUUCUUGUUCGUGGGCUCAAGUGGGUGGAUGAGGUUAUUGUCAAUACCCCUUAUGACAUCAAUGAAAAUUUUUUGAACACUCUCUUUAAUGAAUACAAAAUCGAUUACAUUAUUCACGGGGAUGAUCCAUGCUUACUUCCCGAUGGAACUGAUGCUUAUGGACUAGCAAAGAGGGCAGGACGUUACAAGCAAAUCAAGAGAACAGAAGGUGUCUCCAGCACCGACAUUGUAGGCAGGAUUUUAUCUUCAUUGAGAGCUGCAGAUGCGAAUAUGAGUCAAAAUACUACGGCCAUUCAUCAACAUCAUAAUAAUACAGAUAAAUUGCAGGCAGGAAAGAAUCUUCCUAUUGGUCCCCAGCUUUCUCACUUCUUACCUACAUCCCGGAGAAUAGUUCAAUUUUCAAAUGGGAAGGGGCCUGAACCAGGUGCUCGUGUAGUAUACAUUGAUGGUGCGUUUGAUCUCUUUCAUGCUGGCCAUGUUGAGAUCCUAAGAAGUGCUAGACAGCUUGGAGAUUUUCUGCUUGUAGGAAUAUACAGUGAUCAAACAGUGAGUGAGCGCAGAGGAUCUCAUCCUAUCAUGCACCUUCAUGAGCGUAGUCUUAGUGUGCUUGGUUGCCGAUAUGUUGAUGAAGUCAUUAUUGGUGCACCUUGGGAAGUUACAAAAGACAUGAUUUUGAGCAGAUUGCUACCUUCAACAUAUCAUUGGUUGUUCAUGGGACAAUCGCUGAAAACAAUCGUCGUUGUGAAUUUGAUCCUUAUGCCAUCGCUAGAAGCAUGGGGAUUUUCCAGAUGAUUACAAGUCCAAGUAAUAUAACUUCUACAUCAGUAGAGAGCAGGAUCAUCGACAACUAUGAGGCUUACGAGAAACGGAACCUGAAAAAGAAAGAAAGUGAAGACAGAUACUAUGCAGAGAAGAAAUUUGUGACAGGAGACUGAGUAUACAAUCACAAAGUAUGAAAGCAAGUGCAAUUUAGUGUAGAUUUGAGUGGGAACUGAAAAAUAAUCUGUUCUGUGCUUCCCUUCAAGACGCUGUUUCCCUCUUCUCGGAAGUAGUUGAAUAUGCAUUUUGCCGAAGAAGUUGCUUAUACGGAUUUGAUUCUUCUAGCCUGUAACCACUAUACAGAGAAACCAAACCUUCAUAAUUUUUUUCCCUUUUGUGUAUGUGCGCGCGCUCACGUAUGUGAGUGAAAAUGCGUAACAAUGAAAUAGUUCCCUCGACGAGGAUGCAUCCUGAAAUGUUAGUUGUUGUACACUUAAAUGUAACAGGGCUACCUUCCUAGAUUGAUAUAAAUGUUCAUUUAUAUCCAA